AUUGCAGAAGUGGGAGAGAGAGUCAUUGGGGAGAGAGAAAGAGGGAAAAGGAGAGGAAAUGUGAGGGAGCACCACCAGACCACCGCAGGUAUUCGAGCAAUCCAUGGUCUCUUGUGGUCGUGCGGCAUGGGGAAAUCGGAAAUAGCCUGGGUUCCAUCGGAUUGCGACCGGCUCGCGCAUGACCCGACUUUGAAAUUCGGUUUUGAAAAUCAUCAACAAACAUGCCAAAAUUUCGAGCGAGCUGCCAACCCGGUUCUGUUGGUCACAUUACCGAACCAACUCUCUAGAAGCAUUUUUCUUUGCAUUUGUCUUCCAUUUAGCCUAAAAUCUUGGAUCAAAAAAUUGUUCAUACAUCAUAGAACACGCACCAAGGUUUUAAAAAAUGUAAAAUUGACAUUUAAUGCAAGACAACUUGCAUGAAAAUCUUAGGUUCAUCACUGACCCGAGACACCUGCUUUCUUGUCCGGUUCCAAAGCAACUUUGGGGACCUAUUUAGAGCCCUAAAUCGGUCCUUUUUGCGAA